UACGGAGGGUGCAAGCGUUAUCCGGAUUCACUGGGUUUAAAGGGUGCGUAGGCGGGUAAGUAAGUCCGUGGUGAAAUCUCUGAGCUUAACUCAGAAACUGCCGUGGAUACUAUUUGCCUUGAAUAUUGUGGAGGUGAGCGGAAUAUGUCAUGUAGCGGUGAAAUGCUUAGAUAUGACAUAGAACACCAAUUGCGAAGGCAGCUCACUACACAAUCAUUGACGCUGAGGCACGAAAGCGUGGGGAGCAAACGGG
rnacentral:rRNA from 1 species